GAUGAACGCUGGCGGCGUGCUUAACACAUGCAAGUCGAACGGAAAGGCCCUAGCUUGCUUGGGUACUCGAGUGGCGAACGGGUGAGUAACACGUGGGUGAUCUGCCCUGCACUUCGGGAUAAGCCUGGGAAACUGGGUCUAAUACCGGAUAGGACCACAUUUUGGAUGGUGUGGUGGAAAGUUUUUCGGUGUGGGAUGAGCUCGCGGCCUAUCAGCUUGUUGGUGGGGUAAUGGCCUACCAAGGCGUCGACGGGUAGCCGGCCUGAGAGGGUGUACGGCCACAUUGGGACUGAGAUACGGCCCAGACUCCUACGGGAGGCAGCAGUGGGGAAUAUUGCACAAUGGGCGCAAGCCUGAUGCAGCGACGCCGCGUGGGGGAUGACGGCCUUCGGGUUGUAAACUCCUUUCGCUAGGGACGAAGCGUUUUUGUGACGGUACCUGGAGAAGAAGCACCGGCUAACUACGUG
rnacentral:rRNA from 1 species